GAGGGUAUAGCUCAGUGGUAGAGCAUGUGUCUAGCAUCCACGGGGUCCUGGGUUCGAUCCCCAGUACUGCCA
rnacentral:tRNA from 1 species